GUCUCUGUAGCUCAGUUGGUUAGAGCGCUGCACCGGAAUCGCAGGGCCGCAGGUUGGAUUCCUGUCAGGGACC
rnacentral:tRNA from 1 species